CCAAAGGCUCUUUUAAGAGCCACUCACAUCUUGUAAAGAGUAGAAU
rfam:Takifugu rubripes chromosome, Chr_10